AGUACGCUAUAGAGUUUGAUCCUGGCUCAGGAUGAACGCUAGCGGCAGGCCUAAUACAUGCAAGUCGAGGGGUAGCGUAGCAAUGCGUGAGACCGGCGCACGGGUGCGUAACGCGUAUGGAAGGUGUCCGAACCACUGGGAUAGCCCCCGGAAACGGGGAUUAAUACCGGAUGGCCCGUAGUCGCGGCAUCGCGUCUACGGUAAAGCUCAGGCGGGUUCGGGUCCCCAUGCGUACGAUUAGCUAGUUGGCGGGGUAACGGCCCACCAAGGCGACGAUCGUUAGGGGUCCUGAGAGGGAGAUCCCCCACACUGGUACUGAGACACGGGCCAGACUCCUACGGGAGGCAGCAGUAGGGAAUAUUGGGCAAUGGGCGCAAGCCUGACCCAGCCAUGCCGCGUGCAGGAAGAAGGCCCUCCGGGUUGUAAACUGCUUUUGGGAGGGGACAAAAAGCGGGUGCGCCCAGCAAUUGAGUGUACCUCCAGAAUAAGCACCGGCUAACUCCGUGCCAGCAGCCGCGGUA
rnacentral:rRNA from 1 species